rnacentral:tRNA from 1 species
GCGCUCGUAGCUCAGUUGGAUAGAGCACCUGGCUACGAACCAGGGGGUCGGAGGUUCGAAUCCUUCCGAGCGCACCA